rnacentral:rRNA from 1 species
UGGGGAAUAUUGGACAAUGGGCGCAAGCCUGAUCCAGCAAUGCCGCGUGUGUGAAGAAGGCCUUCGGGUUGUAAAGCACUUUUAUCAGGAGCGAAACGCUGUCGGCUAAUACCCGGCGGAACUGACGGUACCUGAGGAAUAAGCACCGGCUAACUUCGUGCCAGCAGCCGCGGUAAUACGAAGGGUGCAAGCGUUAAUCGGAAUUACUGGGCGUAAAGCGUGCGUAGGCGGUUUCUUAAGUCUGCUGUGAAAUCCCCGGGCUCAACCUGGGAAUGGCAGUGGAUACUGGGAGGCUAGAGUGUGUCAGAGGGUGGUGGAAUUCCCGGUGUAGCGGUGAAAUGCGUAGAGAUCGGGAGGAACAUCAGUGGCGAAGGCGGCCACCUGGGACAACACUGACGCUGAGGCACGAAAAGCGUGGGGAGCAAACAGGAUUAGAUACCCUGGUAGUCCACGCCCUAAAACGAUGCGAACUGGAUGUUGGUCUCAACUCGGAGAUCAGUGUCGAAGUUAACGCGUUAAGUUCGCCGCCU